GGUACUUUCAGGCCUUUUGGCUGAAAUCAAGUAAGUUAUGCAUUCUUAUCAGUUUAAUGUCUGAUAUGUCCUCAAUGAAAGGACUUUGUAUUAAACAGAUUUCGGGGCUUGAUUCUAUACUCUGGGAUGGGCACCAAGAACUGCUGCUGGCAGCCCCUCAGCACAAUUAAA
rnacentral:snRNA from 1 species